rnacentral:rRNA from 1 species
CGGGGUGCAGCAGGCGCGAAAACUUUACAAUGCUGGCAACAGCGAUAAGGGGACCUCGAGUGCCAGGAUACAAUCUUGGCUGUCGCGAUGCCUAAAAAGCAUUGCAUAGCAAGGGCCGGGCAAGACCGGUGCCAGCCGCCGCGGUAACACCGGCGGCUCGAGUGGUAACCGCUAUUAUUGGGUCUAAAGGGUCUGUAGCCGGCCGGAUAAGUCUUUUGGGAAAUCCAGCUGCUCAACAGUUGGGCUUUCAGAAGAUACUGUUCGGCUCGAGACCGGGAGAGGUGAGAGGUACUUCAGGGGUAGGGGUGAAAUCUUGUAAUCCUUGAAGGACCACCAGUGGCGAAGGCGUCUCACCAGAACGGAUCUGACGGCAAGGGACGAAAGCUAGGGGCACGAACCGGAUUAGAUACCCGGGUAGUCCUAGCCGUAAACGAUACUCGCUAGGUGUCAGCCACGGUGCGACCGUGGUUGGUGCCGUAGGGAAGCCGUGAAGCGAGCCACCUGGGAAGUACGGCCGCAAGGCUGAAACUUAAAGGAAUUG